CGUAGGGUGCAAGCGUUAUUCGGAAUUACUAGGCGUAAAGCGAGUGUAGGCGGACGCUUAAGUCCGACGUGAAAUCUCUAGGCUUAACCUGGAGCGGUCGUCGGAUACUGAGCGCCUCGAGAGAGGUAGGGGGCAGGGGAAUUCCCGGUGUAGCGGUGAAAUGCGUAGAUAUUGGGAGGAACACCUAUGGCGAAAGCACCUGCCUGGGCCUUUCCUGACGCUAAGACUCGAAAGCCGGGGGAGCAAACAGGAUUAGAUACCCUGGUAGUCCCGGCUGUAAACGAUGGUAACUAGAUGUGGGAGGUAUCGACCCCCUUCCGUGUCGUCGCUAACGCUUUAAGUUACCCGCCUGGGGAGUACGGCCGCAAGGUUA
rnacentral:rRNA from 1 species